rnacentral:pre_miRNA from 1 species
AAAAAAACAUUCGGACCAUCGGUCUACGGAGCAAUUUCACCCGCUCGGUAGAAGAUCUUCCCUUUGUAGUUUUUU